AGUAUACUCAGAUAUGUUGCUGUUUUUCAGGAGAUGGUAGAAUAAGAAUCCAGGUAUGAGAAGUUCACUGCAACAAGCAGCUGUGUACUGUCUGCUGUUUGUAGCUACACAUUUUGUUAAUAAGUAUGUUCUGUCUGUCUUGAAAUUCCAGUUCCCAACUAUAUUUCAAGGAUGGCAGACACUGGUUGGAUUCCUGAUGUUAAGUUUAUUAGUAUCUACCAGACAUCUUCCUACACUGUUAGACAAUACAAAUAGGUAAAAUUAUUAUAUUAUUUGUCAUAUAAAAGGCAUAUAUAGCCAGUCGAUAGUUUGUAUUU
rnacentral:lncRNA from 1 species